rnacentral:lncRNA from 1 species
CACGGGACACCUGCAUCUGCCAACAAGACUGGAAGCAGGUGAGGCACACAGAGGGGGAGGCCCGCAGCUGCGUGGGAGGAGGGGUGGUCUGAGGGACGUGGGAUGCCGGGAAUGAGGCUGGUUUGCAGGUUGGCGCAUGGACAUUUUCCCAGAAAGGGACAGAGACGGCGAAGUUUGACGGUCUGGAAAGCAGAGACCAGCAGGGCUGACUGCUUGGGAGCACCAAAUAUCCGGACAGCGCCUCUCGGGAGGUCCGAGAAGAGAACCGCGAUCUGUUUCAGCACCGGGGCUCAGGACAGUUCCCAGCGGGCUCCGUUUCGUCUCCAGAACCCUGGACAGCUCCUCCAGCUUGGAAUGCACUCCCUCCACCUCCAACCAGAGCUCCCCACAACUGACCCUGCCUUCUUCUGCAAGCUCCAUUUCAUCAAGGGAAACGAUCCUUAUUGCCUCACCAUUUCCCACGUGAAGUCUGUAUUGACAUUCUCAUAGACCUGGGAUAUUGUGUCUGCAGCACAUAGUCCAAUUAUUUUCAUGUUAUCUACUGACAGGUCUAUUUGUCUCCCUGUUACACUGUGAGCUCCGUGAGGGCAGAAACAAUGUUAGUAUUUUCACUGCUGUGUCCCCAGCGCCUGGUCCGGGGCCCGGCACACAGCAGGCAUAUAAUAAGCAUGUGUUGAAUCAAUAAAGGCAUCAAAGAAUAAACCAAUACAUCAAUCAAUAAAUGAAUGAAUGGCCUCAGCACACA